GCCGGGUGUGGUGGCACACACCAGUAAUCCCAGUGGCUCGGGAGGCUGAGGCAGGAGGAUCAUGAGUUCAAAUCCAGCCUCAGCAAAAGUGAGGCACUAAGCAACUCAGUGAGACCCUGUCUCUA
rnacentral:sRNA from 1 species